ACUGUAGAAAUGAUUGAAAUAGUUGAUAUUCGGUGCUCAAAUAUCUACCCAGUUACAUUAGCAUGUUGUGACAGGCUUACAAUGCGUACUGAGUUCUUGCCAAAUCUACAAUUUCUGCUUCAUCCUUCUCACCUAUCAUGACAACUAGGUUUCUCCUCCACUUGCUAUUAACAUCUGUUACUCCUUAUUGACCAAUUCCCAUUCUUGUUGAUAACCAUCUCACUCGCCUUACAUAACUUUUAACAUCAUCCUAUCAUUCCUCAAUUACUCUCUAUCUAGUGUAUUAUUCUGCUGCUGUAAGAAAUGUUACUAAGUAUCACUACAUAUAUUGCCAUUUCUAUAUUCUGUGUUAAAGACUACACAAAUCAAGCUCAAUAUAACCACUUUGUAGUACAGUU